rnacentral:rRNA from 1 species
GACGAACGCUGGCGGCGUGCUUAACACAUGCAAGUCGAACGGAAAGGCCCUGCUUUUGUGGGGUGCUCGAGUGGCGAGCGGGUGAGUAACACGUGAGUAACCUGCCCUUGACUUUGGGAUAACUUCAGGAAACUGGGGCUAAUACCGGAUAGGAGCUCCUGCUGCAUGGUGGGGGUUGGAAAGUUUCGGCGGUUGGGGAUGGACUCGCGGCUUAUCAGCUUGUUGGUGGGGUAGUGGCUUACCAAGGCUUUGACGGGUAGCCGGCCUGAGAGGGUGACCGGCCACAUUGGGACUGAGAUACGGCCCAGACUCCGACGGGAGGCAGCAGUGGGGAAUAUUGCACAAUGGGCGGAAGCCGGAUGCAGCAACGCCGCGUGCGGGAGGACGGCCUUCGGGUGGUAAACCGCUUUCGCCUGUGACGAGGCGUGAGUGACGGUAAUGGGUAAAGAAGCACCGGCUAACUACGU